UACAUGUGGGGCAAGCGUUGUUCGGAAUUACUGGGCAUAAAGGGUGCGUAGGCGGCUUGUUAAGUCAGGGGUGAAAGUUUUCGGCCCAACCGGAAAAUUGCCUUUGAUACUGGCGAGCUGGAGUGCGUGAGGGGUGACCGGAACGAGUGGUGUAGCGGUGAAACGCGUAGAUAUCACUCGGAAGGCCAACGGCGAAGGCAGGUCACUGGUGCGCAACUGACGCUGAGGCACGAAAGCGUGGGGAGCAAACAGG
rnacentral:rRNA from 1 species